rnacentral:rRNA from 1 species
AUUGAACGCUGGCGGCAGGCCUAACACAUGCAAGUCGAGCGGAGCGGCGGACGGGUGAGUAAUGCAUAGGAAUCUGCCUGGUAGAGGGGGAUCACGUCCGGAAACGGGCGCUAAUACCGCAUACUCACAAAUGAGCCUAGGUCGGGUGAGCUAGUUGGUGGGGUAAAGGCCUACCAAGGCGACGAUCCGGAACUGGGCUGAGAGGAUGAUCAGUCAAACUGGAACUGAGACACGGUCCAGACUCCUACGGGAGGCAGCAGGGGGGAAUAUUGGACAAUGGGCGAAAGCAUGAUCCAGCCAUGCCGCGUGUGUGAAGAAGGUCUUCGGAUUGUAAAGCACUUUAAGUUGGGAGGCGUUACCAACAGAAUAAGCACCGGCUAACUUCGUGCCAGCCGCCGCGGUAAUAC